UAUUUCGGUCUAUCCACAUGAGUUGUUUAAAUUAUGUUUUGGUACGUUUCAGUGAUUAUGUUUUGUUAAACUCUUGUUUAGUUUGACUUAAGGUUUUAGCAGAGGCUCAAUAAAAUAUUACUCUGUCAGUAAUAUUUUAUGUUCAAGAAUAAACUGUUAACUUGAGGUGCAGUGAGGUCCAAAUAGUAAAUCAGGUUGAUUUGAAUGAUUCGAUUGAACCCAAUCACAAACCAUUUAGUUAUCAGGGAGAACUUUGUUAUGGAGUGAAAGUGAAUCUUGUUGAAAACGUGUUGGAACAUGCUGUUUUCCAGACAACUCGGAACACGCUUUUCUAUUGAAAAAUAUGUGAAAAUGUUAACAUGCACUCACAAACAAACCAAACCUUGCAUCACAAGAAGAGACUGUCAAAACAUGUUGUAACUGAAAUAUAAUGUUUAUUAGGCUCACUGUGAAGAUGGAAAAUUUUGAAGAGUCCUUUCCCCCCUCUCCCAACACUUUAGAAAACAUCAUAUAUCUAGUUAAGUUUAUUUUGAAUUGUGAAGUACAGAUAUAAAAUUUGUAUAUGUGAGUUUUGAUUAUUAACUUUCUAAAAAAGAGAGCUCAGUCGGUCCCGAAUUAUUUUAUAUUUGCCUGUUAAUUUUUUUAUUUUGAGCGAAUUUGAGUCGUGACAUGUCAAUGGAGAACAAAAACUGUAAUGUGAACACAAAAAGGGUCAGAUGUGUUCUGCGAGGUCCUGCAAACAUACUGGUAAAAUGAGAUGCUCAAGUUAGAUCAUCUGAUGUUGUUGUGUUGCUGCGCCAGUACCUGGUUGAGCUCCCAGGUGGCAGUAUUGUGCCUUAACGCUGACACCUGUCACACAAGAAGAUGAUGCAAAGGUGCAGCUACUCCGAGGAAAGCUGUGUUUGUCAGAGAGCUUCAAAGAAGACGGAGAAAGCCAGAGUCUUGUACCCUGCGUUUAUCAGUAUCCUUAUGUUCGUUAGGUGAAAAAGAAAAACUUAAUAAACAAAGUAAAAAAUAAUUUGACAUAUCCCCCCCCCCCCCCCACCCCCCCAAAGGUUGUUAUCCUGGUACCGCUAUUGUGAAUUCUUAUGGCCACAAUAACCGUGAUAUGAAAAAUUUAAUAUCAUGACAGCUCUAGUUAAUACAUUUUAAUGUAAUCUUUGAGUAAAGGUUUUUUUUUUUUUUUUUUUUUUUUACAUUUAAGUACAGUACAGUUAUGUAACU